CCACCAGACCGAACGCCAGACGCGGUUCGGGCCCGAAAAUCCACCAGGCGGCGAAGGCGACAAGCGCCGCGACGAUGACGGUUGGAACGAACCACCCGGCAACCUGAUCCGCGAGCCGCUGAAUCGGCGCGCGCGAGCGCUGCGCUUGCGCCACCAUCUGCACGAUCUGGGACAACAUGGUAUCGCGCCCGACCUUCUCGGCUCGCAUCACGAAACUGCCGGAUUGAUUCAGGGU
rnacentral:misc_RNA from 1 species